rnacentral:rRNA from 1 species
UACGAAGGGGGCUAGCGUUGCUCGGAAUCACUGGGCGUAAAGCGCACGUAGGUGGGUCGUUAAGUUGAGGGUGAAAUCCCAGGGCUCAACCCUGGAACUGCCUUCAAUACUGGCGACCUUCGAGUCCGGGAGAGGUGAGUGGAACUGCGAGUGUAGAGGUGAAAUUCGUAGAUAUUCGCAAGAACACCAGUGGCGAAGGCGGCUCACUGGCCCGAUACUGACGCUGAGGCACGAAAGCGUGGGGAGCAAACAGG